GGGUUGCAGUGAGUCAAGACCACACCAUUGCUCUCCAGCCUGGGCAAGAGAGCGAAACGCCAUCUCAAAAAUAAAGUCUACAUCAGUGAUAUUACACACUUGGCACUUACUUACAUUUUGGCAGCAUUGUCAGAUAGAGACCAGUGCUAGGGUUAUGUUCAUGGUUUCUGUGACUGAUAAUCUCUAAUUUGAUUCUACUGAUAGUAGCUUUGAGCUUUCAUCCAGAGCCUCUCUGAUGUUAGGAUUUUCACUUCAAUGUGUCCAGUCAUGAAGUUUGUCCAUUCAGAAUUUAACUUAAAAGUUAACAAAAUGAAAAAUCAAAGUACCAUUACCAAAAAACAUGCUUGGGAAUCAUGUUCUCAAGUGUCAUAUGGCCUCUGGAAAGGUGACUGCUGAAGAGAAGUUUACUGACACAGUGUUGUGAGUAGCCUCUAAGGCACUGAGUUCCUGAAGAUUGCCAGCAAGAUUCUCCCCACCUCCAAAUAUUGGCAAGAAAUUUAGACUAGCAUUUCAAAAUUAGUGCAGGGGUAUGGUCACAUCUUUGUCACUUUAUUUUUAAAGAUUACAAAUCGAGAAGUAUAGCAUAGUCCUUUUAUCUUUUAAAUAAUUAGCUUAUCUUUUUGAAAUUUGUCAUCUUUUUGCCUGACAUUUUCCAGAGAAUUGCUGUAAAGCCACAAGAUGGAGCUCAAGGACAAAGCCACAAAUGCAGAAUUCACAGAUACAGAGGGCCAACUGUUCUUGGAAUUUGGGUUGAAAGCUGUUAAAGUUCUUUUCAGCCAAAAAAAAAAAUGCCUCGUAAUAAAUUGUCAUCUUUGAAACGUACCAUGCUUGUUUUGCUCUACAUAGUUUUUUGGCACUACAUAACUGUAGACUUAAGUAUCUUUUGGUGGAAAUAAAAUAUGAAAUCUCUUUAAUUUUGUUAAUGUUAGGUCUGGUAUUCAUUCCAUUAAGUUCCACUUUAAAGUAUGGAAAAAUGUUAUAAACAUCUGCUUUAAACAAUGAAUGGUACUGCAAUAGUCCUGUAAAAAAAAUGAAUGGAGUAAAGUCCUUCGAAUUUUCAUUUAAAGAAUGGCAUAGCUUUAUAAUACAUUGAGUUUUUAAUAUGCAGAAUGUAUUUAAUAUCCUAAAACGAUGAAUUGUCUUGGCAUUAUGCUAUCUUAUGAAACACUUUCUUACUCUCACAUUGUGUCUUUAUAGUUUUCAAUAUCAGCAAAACCUUUAAAUAGUCUUAGUUGGGUGUUGUGUAUCAUUGUACAGUAACUGCUAGUACAUAUGGUAUUUCUGAUCCAUGUAAUAAAGUACAUUUGUCAUGUAUCUUGUGAUCUGCAUACCUUUCAGCUGUUACUUCAUAAAUCUGUUCCAUCAGAGAACUGCUUUGUACAGCAAUGGUUGAAGCUGCUUUUAAUAAACUAGUAUUUUGUGUCUUUUA